GUCUGUUCUGCUCUGACAACCGUUACAUUGCCAGGCACAAUAAUCAUCCCACUACCAUAGACGUCCCCUCCUCCAGCUCCCACAGAGUAGGAGUGUAUCUGGACUGGCCAGCCGGCACUCUGUCCUUCUAUAGAGCCUCCUCUGACACACUGACCCACCUGAUCACAUUCACCUCCACAUUCACUGAGCCCCUCUAUCCAGGGUUUAGGGUUUGGGGUGAUGGUGACUCAGCGUCCCUGUAAAUAAUAACCUGACACAAACACACACACACACACACACACACAUACACUGACCACAACACACACACACUGGACUCACACACACAAACAAACAGACACACACACUGGAAACACAGACUGGACACAAAAACCCACACACCCUGGACACACCACACACACUGGACACACCUCACACACACAUAUAUCCAUUCACUCACACACUGGACACACACACAUCCACAUCUUCCUAUAAUUGUUGACCUUCAUGUUUAUAAGGCGAUAACAAUAUCCAAGGUCUAUCUGCCUGUUAAAUCAGUUUCUGGACCACAGGUUCUAGAACAGCUUCUAUCCCAGUUCUAUCUGCCUGUUAAAUCAGUUUCUGGACCACAGGUUCUAUCCCAGUUCUAUCUGCCUGUUAAAUCAGUUUCUGGACCACAGGUUCUAGAACAGCUUCUAUCCCAGUUCUAUCUGCCUGUUAAAACAGUUUCUGGACCACAGGUUCUAGAACAGCUUCUAUCCCAGUUCUAUCUGCCUGUUAAAUCAGUUUCUGGACCACAGGUUCUAUCCCAGUUCUAUCUGCCUGUUAAAUCAGUUUCUGGACCACAGGUUCUAGAACAGCUUCUAUCCCAGUUCUAUCUGCCUGUUAAAUCAGUUUCUGGACCACAGGUUCUAGAACAUCUUCUAUCCCAGUUCUAUCUGCCUGUUAAAUCAUCAACCUGUUUCCAUCAGACUAUUAGAACAUGACUGAACCUUUUGGUUCCUUUUCUGAUCUUUUACCACUUUACAUUUUUAUGAUAUAUUUUACUGUUUGUGUUUGUACCACAGGAGGUUGGUGGGACCUUAAUUGGGGAGGACAGGCUUGUAAUGGCUGGAGGGAAUAAGUGGAAUGGUAUCAAACACGUGGUUUCCAUGUGUUGCAUUUCAUUCACUCUGUUCCAGACAUUAUUAUGAGCCGUCCUCCCUCAGCAGCCUCCUCUGGUAUGUACUGUCCUAUAUGUGAGAGAGCUCCAACAAGGAAUUACAAUGUAUGUAUUACUUUUAAUACAUGCAAAUGGUCAAAUAAACUACUUGAACUCCUUAUGAAUGUCUGCAGCCGACUAGGCUGUUGGCGUCUGACGAGGUGAAAAUAUGUCAGGAAUAUUCUGCAAAUGUUGAUGAAGACGUCACUCAACACACCCAAAACAACAUGCAGUCUUUCCACAAGACUCCCAUGAAAUUAUAGUGUGAUGUAAUGAGUUGGCGUUAAAGUAACAUUCUCAGAACAUUGUUUUAUACUGUUUUAGAUGGAUCCUCUGUUUAUCAUCUUGUUUUAUACUGUUUUAGAUGGAUCCUCUGUUUAUCAUCUUGUUUUAUACUGUUUUAGAUGGAUCCUCUGUUUAUCAUCUUGUUUUAUACUGUUUUAGAUGGAUCCUCUGUUUAUCAUCUUGUUUUAUACUGUUUUAGAUGAAUCCUCUGUUUAUCAUCUUGUUUUAUACUGUUUUAGACGGAUCCUCUGUUUAUCAUCUUGUUUUAUACUGUUUUAGAUGGAUCCUCUGUUUAUCAUCUUGUUUUAUACUGUUUUAGAUGGAUCCUCUGUUUAUCAUCUUGUUUUAUACUGUUUUAGACGGAUCCUCUGUUUAUCAUCUUGUUUUAUACUGUUUUAGAUGGAUCCUCUGUUUAUCAUCUUGUUUUAUACUGUUUUAGAUGGAUCCUCUGUUUAUCAUCUUGUUUUAUACUGUUUUAGAUGGAUCCUCUGUUUAUCAUCUUGUUUUAUACUGUUUUAGAUGGAUCCUCUGUUUAUCAUCUUGUUUUAUACUGUUUUAGAUGGAUCCUCUGUUUAUCAUUGUCAUGACGUUGGCCUGGGGGUAGGUUUAUGACAGUCAUAAAUACCUCUUCCACCUUUUUCCUCUCUCUAUCCUACUGAUGUUACAUUUGCAAAACCCUUGGUUAACAUAGAGAUUCUGGGAACAUCAGUAGGUGGGGGAAAUGAACUAUAUUCUGGUAAUCCGACCAAUUGAACAUAUGCGGUGGUACUUAAUGAAUAUGAUGUCAGUUCGGUUGUCAUCUGAGACAUUCUCAUCAAUGAUAAGAUGACAUAAACUCUACAGUGGAAAGUCUACACAUCAGAGUUAUCGGAUUCACAUGGAAUUAUUGUUCAAUUUAAAUGUUUGAAUAUGAAAUUAUUUGUGAUGGGAUGAAAUGUUAGCUUCUAAAAUGUGAGAUUUGGGUUUUCAUAAGGUUAGGGCUCUGCUCAAUCAGCCCCUGUGAAGGGACAUGGGCUAUAAAACUUUUCAAACACGCCCUCCUCUCCCUUCCUAUAUAAGCCCUUGACGACAAUAUAACCUCCUGUUCCGAGGACGUGAGGACGACGGUCUGAUGUCAGAAUGGUUCAGAUAAUAACUACAGAACGAAGCCAACAUCAGCGUGAGCUUUGGUUGCGAAUGGUAUGAACUUUGAACUCUUAUUCACUACAGAAGUGAUACCUCCUAGCCGUUGAGUUAGCAACAGCAGAUGCAAACGCAGGCUAGGAAGGAACAGAGAGAGUAUCCCGUCUAUCACACAAUGACAUUACUACAACAUAUCCAAUUUACCAGCAGAGAGAUUCUUCAAAGGACUCGGUUGGGCAACACGGCCUUCCAUCUACCACCAACCUACCGAAGCGCAGCUCAGAGUAAAUAUUUAUUGCAUUUUCCUUUUCCAAAUGGGCGGUACUUUAGAAUGCAUAAGAUAAUGUAUUUACGAUAGCACAGCUUCGGCCUUUGUUCCUCAGUCUUCCCGCUCUUUCACUCAAACUAAGCCCCUUUUCAAGCUGUCAUAUCUGUUCCGCCCGCUAGGGACGUUUUCCUUUAAGACGUAAUUUGUAAUCAAGUUAUGAUUUAAUUAUGUGUAUGUGUAAUUCUGUGUGAUUAGUUAGGUAUUGAGUAAAUGUUAAGGGAAUUUUUAUCAAUGAUGACUAAUUAUGUAUACAUUUCAAUCAGGACGUACUAAUCCGAAUACUAAUAUGUUACUGUAUAUAUACUAAUCAGAAUACUAUUCUGUAUGUGUAUGAGUUUUCUUUCUUGAUCCCAGUACUGAAUAUAAUGUGUGGGAAUGUGGUCAAGAGUUUAGUACAAUGACUGUCUGUUCCUUGGUACAAAUGAAUCAGACUGGCUAGAAUGCUUAUCUACACAAGAAAACCUUGACUCGUAAAUUAUAUUAAAUUGGUAGGGAGACGGAUGUGGGAAGACUUGAGAUACAGCCUUUGUACUGGAACGGAGAUGACACGGGUUGGUGUUGGAACUAAUGACGUCAUUUUCAGUUUAUAACCUGUGGUAACCUGUAUCGUGUUCAGUACUCUCUUGAAUAAACUCUGCUGUCUGACUUGCA